rnacentral:rRNA from 1 species
UGGAUCCAGACUUUGAUUCUGGCUCAGGAUGAACGCUGGCGGCGUGCCUAAUACAUGCAAGUCGAACGAAACUUCUUUAUCACCGAGUGCUUGCACUCACCGAUAAAGAGUUGAGUGGCGAACGGGUGAGUAACACGUGGGCAACCUGCCCGAACGAGGGGGAUAACACUUGGAAACAGGUGCUAAUACCGCAUAACCAUGAAUACCGCAUGGUAUUUAUGUGAAAGGUGGUUUCGGCUACCGCUUUCGGAUGGGCCCGCGGCGCAUUAGCUAGUUGGUGGGGUAAAGGCUUACCAAGGCAAUGAUGCGUAGCCGAACUGAGAGGUUGAUCGGCCACAUUGGGACUGAGACACGGCCCAAACUCCUACGGGAGGCAGCAGUAGGGAAUCUUCCACAAUGGGCGAAAGCCUGAUGGAGCAACGCCGCGUGGGUGAAGAAGGUCUUCGGAUCGUAAAACCCUGUUGUCAGAGAAGAAAGUGCAUGAGAGUAACUGUUCAUGUUUCGACGGUAUCUGACCAGAAAGCCACGGCUAACUACGUGCCAGCAGCCGCGGUAAUACGUAGGUGGCAAGCGUUAUCCGGAUUUAUUGGGCGUAAAGGGAACGCAGGCGGUCUUUUAAGUCUGAUGUGAAAGCCUUCGGCUUAACCGGAGUAGUGCAUUGGAAACUGGGAGACUUGAGUGCAGAAGAGGAGAGUGGAACUCCAUGUGUAGCGGUGAAAUGCGUAGAUAUAUGGAAGAACACCAGUGGCGAAAGCGGCUCUCUGGUCUGUAACUGACGCUGAGGUUCGAAAGCGUGGGUAGCAAACAGGAUUAGAUACCCUGGUAGUCCACGCCGUAAACGAUGAAUGCUGAGUGUUGGAGGGCUUCCGCCCUUCAGUGCUGCAGUUAACACAAUAAGCAUUCCGCCUGGGGAGUACGACCGCAAGGUUGCAACUCAAAGGAAUUGACGGA